GAUCUGGCUCAGAGUGAACGCUGGCGGCGUGCCUAAUACAUGCAAGUCGAACGGACAAGUAAGAGCUUGCUCUUAUGAGUUAGUGGCGCACGGGUGAGUAAUGUAUAGCUAAUCUGCCCUACACUAGAGGACAACAGUUGGAAACGACUGCUAAUACUCUAUACUCCUCUCUAGCAUAAGUUAGAUAGGGAAAGUUUUUUCGGUGUAGGAUGAGGCUAUAUUGUAUCAG
rnacentral:rRNA from 1 species